AAAUUACUUCCUCCAUCCGGAAAAGGAUGUCACAGAUUUUCUAAAUUCACAUGUAUCUAUACAUUAAAACACGUCAGGCAAAUUUGCGAUGUCCUUUUCCAGACGGAGGGAGUAGUAU
rnacentral:miRNA from 1 species